rnacentral:rRNA from 1 species
AACGAACGCUGGCGGCAGGCCUAACACAUGCAAGUCGAGCGAGGACUUCGGUCCUAGCGGCGGACGGGCGAGUAACGCGUGAGAACGUGCCCUUUGCUUCGGAAUAGCUCUGGGAAACUGGGAGUAAUACCGGUUGAGCCCGUUGGGGGAAAGAUUUAUCGGCGAAGGAUCGGCCCGCGUUGGAUUAGGUAGUUGGUGGGGGCAUGGCCUACCAAGCCGACGAUCCAUAGCUGGUUUGAGAGGAUGCCCAGCUACACUGGGACUGAGACACGGACCACACUCGUACGGGACGCAGCAGAAGGGAGUCCUAGACAAUGGAGGCAGACCUGAUCUAGCCACGCCGGGUGAGAGAUGAAGGGCUUAGGAUUGUACAGCCCUCUCAGCUGGGAAGAUAAUGACGGUACCUGCAGAAGAAGCCCCGGCUAACUACGUG